rnacentral:rRNA from 1 species
AAACAUCUCUUUUAGUUUAUUUUAAAGGUUUGACCUGCUCAAUGAUUUAUUAAAUAGCCGCAGUAUCUUAACUGUGCUAAGGUAGCAUAAUAAUUAGUCUUUUAAUUGAGGUCUGGAAUGAAUGGUUGGACGAGAAAUAUACUUUAUUUAAUUAAUUUUAUUUGAAUUUAAUUUUUGGGUUAAAAAGCUUAAAUAAUGAAGAGGGACGAUAAGACCCUAUAGAUCUUUAUUUUUUUAUAAAUUUUUAUUUUUUUGAUUAUUUUUAUUUAUUUUUAUAUUUAAAUUUUUUUGGGGUGAAAACUAAAAUUUUAAUCUUUAGUUUAUUUUUACAUUUAUUUAUGUUUAUUUUGGUCUUUUUUUUUGAUUACAAGAAAAAGAUACCUUAGGGAUAACAGCGUUAUAAAUUUGGAGAGUUCAUAUUGAUAAAUUUGUUUGCGACCUCGAUGUUGGAUUAAAAUUUUCUGUGGGGUAGGUUUUACAGAAUUUAGGUCUGUUCGACCUUUAAAAUU